UAUAUAUAUAUAUAUAUAUAUAUAUAUAUACAUACUAUAUGCAUACACAUAAAUGGUAUAUAUACUACAUAUAUAUAUAUAGUAUACAUGGGGAGUGGCCAUGAGUGUCUUAAGGGGGAGAAGUGCCGCCACCAGACCCCCACCCCUGCUCCCCAACAUAUACCCUUGGAGGAGUAAUACCAAACCCCCAAGAGCCCCCCACCGGCCGAGAGAAUGGGAGAUAUAAUAUGAGCCCUUCCCAAGGUCACGAGUUAGUUGAGUGGUUGCUUGAGAUCUGCGAUGUUGUGUCUUCAUUAGCAGCCUGCAAAGCAAAGCAGACGACUUCGAUAAUAAACAUCACCAUAAGAAAAAAGGUUUGCUGACACUCCUUGGCCCUCUUGGUCCCCUGAAUUGUCCAUUUGUGAUUAUUUCUUGCGGGGAUACCUCAAGGCAUGUGUGUAUGAGCAUAUGCCCCAUACACUGGAGGAUUUGAAAGAAGCUAUUCGUGUAGAAGUUGCCCAAAUUAACAGAGCAAUGCUGGAGAGAGUGGGGGCAACUUCAAAGAACGCCUUCAGAAAUGCAUCAAUGAAAACGGACCACAUGAAGGAUAUUCCACAAUUGCUGGCACCAAUUUUAUGUUGUGCCCUUUUGAAGGAGUUGCAGGACUGAUGGGCUCCUACGUCGCCAUUGCCAGACUGCUUCAACGUUGCCACCGACGCGGGCUUCAGAGGGAUGGGCGAAGGAGUUUCUUUUUGGGGCGUGUCCAUUUUCAGAUCGGAUUCCAACAGUCUUCAACUGUAGAAAAAUCCAAAGGGUAAUCCAGGUCGUCAACAAAAGCAGAUUAAUCAAGGCUAUGGGUAUUGGGCAACAAAACCAAAACAGUUCACUUGCAGCAAGAUACGCCCUGACCGGCAAGCAAACAAAGAGCAAUUGAAAGGCGAGUGCUCUAUCGCCUGGUCCUGGCAGCAGUGUUGCCAAGGGUAGUGCAGGUAACUCAGUAAACGGUGUUUACCUGCAGCAUUGGCAGCGCUGGCAGUUAAAAUUUACCCAAUAGAUGGGUAAGUAUGUAGGGAUAUAGUUCGAGCUGGUCAGUGACUAGGGCUAAUACAGGUGGUGUAUUGCAAUAUCUUACAUUAAUAUUCAUUCUAACAUCAUGGCCACUACCCACUUCACUCACCUGUAUCCUGUCUGUUCUAGCUUAUGAUGGUACUCUCUCCUUACUGCCUGUUGGUUAAAAAAAAAAAAAAAAAAAAAAAUUAUCUUAUUGAUUUUACUUUUAUACCCUCAAUCUUAAACUAGAUACAAACUGACCAGCCAGGGGCACUGGAUGAGCUACACAACUUAAGCAGCCACCACCGGACCCAAGGAAGAAGUGUCCAAGGACCUAUAGGCAACAUCCUUGCCCAAACGACAUUAUCUGACUCUCUUGUUUCUGCUGAACAGGCAUUCUGGAUUGUUUCUCUUAACCAAAAUGAAACUGUAUUCUUGGAUACUUCAUGACCUGGCCUGUGCUAAAAAAAAAAAAAGAAGUCUUAGAGUUCUUUUAAAUAAGCACACAGUGUUCUGACGGGACAUAACAUCAUUUUGUCAUGGUCAUUCCACAAAGUCUCCCAAAUCUGUCAUUAAUAAUUUCUGGAUUCUGUGUAUUAGCACUGAACUCGGGAAUGAGAAAAAAAAUUCCAACCUGUUGUGUUUUAAGUCAUAUGACAGACCAUGUAGCUCUCCUACCCUUUUUGUUGAUACUAAGGCCUGCAAGAAAACUGCUUUAAAGAUCAAGUUUCUAUCUGUAGCCUGUUGCAACAGUUCAUAGGGAGCCCUCAUAAGGCUAGACAAUAACAGUUAAAUCUCAGCUGGGAAAUUUGAGUUAUCUAGGGGAAAAAGGACUGCUCAAAGCUCUUAGUCAACAAAGAUAUUUCCCAAGAAGCAGAAAUAUUAGUCUUUCAUCCUUAGCACUAAAGCUAUAACCCUUUAUGGCUGACACACACACGUUUUUCUGCUCCCAGGAAUACUAAAAAAAUCAGCUAUUUGUUGAAUAGAAGAUCCGAGUGGAGAAAUACCCUGUCUAUGACACCAAUCACAGUAGACACACUACCUUUCCUGGGACACACACAUCAAUGACUUACUAAUAUAUCCUGACAUCUGAGACUGCUUUUUGAGAAAAGUCUCUCACUUGCAGGAGAUACUUGAAUGUCUCCACCUGUGAAAAGAUAGGACUGCACUGACUGGUGGUACCUCUCAGGGUUGCCACGAAGUCCGCACAUCACCGCGGAACUAGCUCCGCACGGGAGGUGUAGUGUUAAUUGCCAAGCAAUGUUACAGAUAUUUUGCUACACUAACUAGACGAAAUAGUCACCCUGGUUAUAUUAUAUAGGUAGAUCUAGGAUACUUAUCCGCGGCGGCCUAGACUAUGGCAGUUGCGGUUUUUCUAUGCAGUUUCACCUACUGAACAGGAAUUUUAAGUAAUAUUUAUUUGGAAGACUGUAAUUAACCCCCCAGGGGCCAGUACUAAGCACGGCGAAAUACAUUGGACGCCCCAAUCCCUAGUGGAUGUCGUAUCCGCGGUAACGUUCCUUGCAGUCCGUGCAUACUGCUUCUGUAGAAAUACCGGUUUACUAAUUAAACCUUUUUAGAGUUAGAUUUUCCCCUUAACGAUAAUUCAUUUGCUUCAUAUCUUUUGAAGCAUUACGUAACUUUAAUGAUAGUAAAAUUUAGAAUCGAACGAGAUACGCGGACAGUGUUCAGUCUUGAAGCUGAUUUAUUACAUUCGAUAUAUCUGUUUCAUAGUUAUGAUUGUUAUAUAUGAUUUGAUGCAUAAAUUACGCUACAAAGUGAACACGGGGAAGUAAAUUUAUUCAUAUAGUUUUCAGCAAAAAGUGGAAGUUACGAAAUAAACUGCACUGAAAUGUAUUUCAUUAUUAAAAACGGUUGUUUUUCGUUCAUUUCUUUGCGUUCCCCACAGAGUAAGUUGACAAGCUCCAUAAAUCCUUCGAUAUUCAUAAAUAGUUUAUUCUUUUUCUUUUUUAAGCCACAUUUGUCACUUUAGGUAAUAUGCUGUAUGUUAGGCUUAAAAUCAAUGUCAUAAGCAUUGUAAACUGACAAAAACGAUAUGAAACAUGUAGGUCUAUAUGCCAUCUUUUAUGAUGCGGAUAUUUUGAAAAGAGAUAUUUCCCCAAGAGAAUGGGCAGCAUAGUAUGCAUGAUUUAUGGUAUACAUGUGGCAAUCCUAAGCCAAACGAAUGCCCUAUUCAGGGCUAUGAGUUUCAAAAAAUUCGAAAAGAGCACAUCAUAAUUGGUUCUCUUUUCAUCAAUAAGCUACAUUAAUAUAAAGAAAAUCCAAGAGUAUAAUACACCACUUCCUAGCAAACUGAUAUCCAAACUUAUUCGGUUAUAAUCAGUUUAAUCACUUCAACUAAUGCAAUUGCCUAAUACAUAUUUGCAGAUGUUUUCUAAAAUAAAUAAAUAAAUAAAUAAAAACUCACAAAACAUAAGUAUAGUUUACAAUAAUGUAAGUCAGUCUUCACCCUAAGAUUAAUUCACAAAUUUUACAAAUUUUACUAACCUAUAUAUAUAAUUACAAAGGCAAAUUGAAGAUUGCUAGACCUAAAGAAUGAAUGCAUUGUAAGACAUCACGUUUGGGUUACGUCAUCUGCUGUUGUCAAAAUCGGUUCUUAACUGAUAUUGGCGCGUGAACACUCGAAGCUAGUGAAAAUGGUUAAUUUCUCAAAAAUAUUAGUAUUUUAAAAAAUUAUUUAAUUUUAAUCAUUUUUUAUUAAUGGGAAAAAGCUUUAAAAGCAUAUAUAUAUGCGGACCUACAGCGCCGCAUACGUGAGGAGUGCAGACCUCAGCUCUGCAUUCAAUGACUCCCCCUCGAAUCUUCUCCGCACUUUUGGUCGUUUCUCCGCGCUAUGGCAACACUGGUACCUCUCUACAUGGGGUUGACAUAUUAAAUUAUGCCAGGGAGGUAGCUCUGGGAACUUCUACCAGCAGAGAUAGCAGGGCCGGGAACUAUUCCGGCCAAGGCCACAAAGGAGCGACCAGUCACCCCGAGAUUCUUGGACUUCAUCACCUUGUUCAGGACAAGACUGAUCAGACAGAGAGAAGAAAAAGCGUAUAUGUCCAGAUUGUCCUAUGGAUGUUGCAGGGCAUCCUCUGCCACUGCAUAUGUGUCCGGCACCAGUGAACAAUAUACUUCCAGUUUUCUGUUGUACCUUGUAUAAAAGAGGUCUAUCCCUGCGCUUCCCCACAAGAUAAUACAUUUCCCCGUCCUAGAACAUCUUGCAAAUAUUUUACCCUAAAUAUACUCAGGAAUUGUUGCUAAUUUUAUUUCAUAUUUUCUGAUAUUAUGUGAGCAUAUUUUUACGAGUCAUGAAAAAGAAGCCUUGCACAGGGUUGGGAAUUUUCACUUUCAACUUCCAGUGGAAGGUACAGAAAAUAUUUUGGUGUUUUUUCUUAUACCUUGAACAUUUACAAAUCAUCUUCUUUCCAGUGUUUUUUCUUUCUUUUGUUACAUUGGAUGACCUUAAAGUUUAUCCGGUCUUGGGGAACAGUAUAAUACCUGUCUUACGUGAUUGAAGUUGUGCCAUUUCAUAAUAGCGCAAACUUUUCAUUGAAACUAAAUUGUCAUACACCCGUUUUUCACAGAUGCAAACAUUUCAGAAUCCUUGAGAAACCCUGCUAAAGUGUUUAAUUUUGUAUGUAAUUUAUAGGUUGUGUGUAAAUUUAAUAACAUUAAAUAAUAAUAAUAAUAAUUCUCUUUUUCUGAGAUGAGAGGAUUUUUAUAGUACAUGUAUGUGGAUAUUUUCAAAUAUUAAUAAGAUUAAAUAAUAAUAAUAAUGACAUAACUGUAAUUACAACAUUUGUGUGUAUGUGACAGUACAUUAAAAAAUAUCCUUCCUUCAUCUUCGUUUAACUUGCUGGAAACCAGGGGUGUCAAAUAUAUGUUUAAUGUGAUAGGUGGGGGAGUGUUGGAUUAGGAAGUCACAGGAUUCUUGUAAUUCAUAAUUAAUUUCACUCUUAUGAAGAUCUAGGAUGAAGGAAUUUUUAUGGUACAUGUGUUUAUUUAUAUUUUCAAAUAAUAUGAAUUAAUAAAAAUAAUAUAACUGUAAUUAAAAAUUUUGUAUGAAAAU